rnacentral:rRNA from 1 species
GUAGGUGGCAAGCGUUGUCCGGAAUUAUUGGGGCGUAAAGCGCGCGCAGGCGGUUCUCUAAGGUCUGAUGUGAAAGCCCACGGGCUCAACCGUGGAGGGUCAUUGGAAACUGGAGAACUUGAGUACAGAAGAGGAAAGCGGAAUUCCACGUGUAGCGGUGAAAUGCGUAGAGAUGUGGAGGAACACCAGUGGCGAAGGCGGCUUUCUGGUCUGUAACUGACGCUGAGGCGCGAAAGCGUGGGGAGCAAACAGGAUUAGAUACCCUGGUAGUCCACGCCGUAAACGAUGAGUGCUAAGUGUUAGGGGGGUUUCCGCCCCUUAGUGCUGCAGCUAACGCAUUAAGCACUCCGCCUGGGGAGUACGGCCGCAAAGGCUG